GGAAGCCGCGGAAGGCGGGUUAGCGAGCGACGGACCCUCGAGGACGAGCCUCGCCCCGCGGUCUUCGCGGUGCCCGACGCAUUUCUCCCCGCACUCAGGACGCCGCAAUGGAUCGGGUAGCUGCGAGAGUCGGCCUUGGGGCCGUCCCAGGCAGGUGGCCGGUGUCGGUCUCGACCGGCGGCACCGGUUAUUCACGGGGCGGUGCACGUGGCGCGACACCCGAUCGACGUCCAGGUUCCUCCCAGCGGGGAACGAUCCGUCUCCGUCCUAUAGGGCGCGGCGACCGGGACAGUGAGCGCCGAAGAUUGCCGAACCACCCUUCGCGGUGGCCGGCGCUGCGGUGGCCGUCGUUGGUUCCGGUCUGGCCGCUGCGGGACGACGCGGAUUGCGGCGAGUAGGUCGGUCACCCACCCGACCCGUCUUGAAACACGGACCAAGGAGUCUAACAUGUGCGCGAGUCGCAGGGUCUUGUUUAGGCCCUCGGGCGCAAUGAAAGUGACGGUCUCACGACCGGGUUG
rnacentral:rRNA from 1 species